UGUCUUUGCUGGCAGAAGAAGCAAGAGACAGUAGUGAUCACUGAGCAGUCAUAUUAACUAACUCUUCUAAGAAAGGAGUGGUGUUUGAUUCUACACCUGAUCAAGCACAAUGUGGCGCGAUGCCACUGUACCACCUCUGUCAACGCUGCAGAUUUAAAGGACAAAUUACGCAAAAUGGGAUUAAUCUACAGCAGGCAGGUCAAGAAGGUGGAGGUCUGCUGGCGGUCAGAGGCUGAUGGUGUUUACACCCUUCGAUGGGUGUACACUUCACCCGACUGGACUUCCUGGGGGACACAUUUAGAGCAUGGAAGAUGAUAAAACGCACAAUGAGCCCAGAAGACCCCUCCCGAGCAAGCACCACUCCAAACCCCAGUGGACCAAGCACAAGUGGAUCAAGUCCCGAUGGAGAGACACCCAAGACCUCCAGAAGGAGAGUCCAUCCCAGUGUGAAUGAUCAGAUGUCUGAUCGUUGAAGAUUGCUCUCCAAAGCAAGAAAUCUAAACUUCUGGAAAGCCUCCCAACGUCCAAGUGCCACGUCUGUCACCUUGGCUUCAUAGUAGGUCUCCAAGCGGGAUGUGAGGAGAUCAAACAGCUGCGGCAGGUUGAAGGACUCUCAUAGCAGCUUCCACGUAGUUGUUGGUGUCAUUCCCACGGCCACCUCCAGACUGCUUGGAGCAGGUGAAAAACACAGAGGAGGAGGGUUGCCUCCGGGAAGGCCUAAUGCUCCUCUCUCUGCCUCGCAGUCGUCGGAUAGAAGAAGACGAGGCCUUGCUUGACCUCUGACCUCUCCCAGCAAAUGCAUCCUCUGCCAAUAUCUCCUUCAGGAGCUGAAGGCCCUCAAAUUGUGGCCUCAUCUUCUGACUGGGCGAAGAUGAUCCCAAGACAAGACCACCUGCACAUGUGUGCGUCAAUAGUAAAAACACUGCAGUUUUCUCUGUCCAUGUUUCCGGAUGAAUCAAUGAACCAUAGCUGCCCACUGUGUUUGAGCUGAUGGACCCGCUUCAUAAGGGGGGAGCAUAUGGCCACGAGAGGAGUUCCACCUGAAGAUGUUUCUAUCUUAGCACCGUUGUUGCUGCGUUUUUAAAUUGUACUCCUCUAUCUGCCUCUCUAGUGUUGACAUCAUGGAAGGCCCAUUCUGCUCUCUUUCCUAAAGACUCUGAUACAAUAUGUGCCAAAU